AUGAAGCUAGUAGCUUUUGGAUUAGUUUUAUUGGGGUGCCUGCAAUCUUUGGCAGCUCCUGACUUCCAAGUUAAGCUAUCCAGAUUGCGAGUGGAACACUUAACAGUCAUAGCACUGUAUGAAAUGAGGAUGAUGCUCACUGACAGCCGAGGUGUCUUGAAAGACUGGAACAAUAACCAAGUGAGCCCCUGCUAUUUUGAUAAUGUUAGAUGCGAUCAAGAUGGCAGCGUUAUUGGAAUAACUUUGAGCUCCUCAGGGUUAAGUGGAAUUUUAUCACCCAGCAUUGCAACGUUAACAACUUUACAGCAGCUGUUAUUGGAUGGUAACAACAUAACUGGAGGAAUUCCACAGGAGUUAGGGAACCUAUCAAACUUAAUGACUCUAAAACUUGGAAGAAAUGGCUUAAAUGGCUCAAUACCUGAAUCUUUUGGCCUUCUAUCAGAACUCCAAAAUCUGGAUCUAAGCGAAAAUCUGUUGAUUGGUAACAUUCCAAACUCUUUGUCAAAUCUUUCAUCGUUGAACAAUAUUAAUCUCGCAUAUAACAGUCUUAGCGGUGAAAUACCAGAACAGCUACUUCAGGUGUCCCAAUAUAACUAUACAGGCAACCAUUUGAACUGUGGCCAGCACUUAAUUUCAUGCAAUGGAAGCACUAAUAAGACAGGUGGAUCAAGCAACUCCACUGUCAAGGUGAUUCUUGGAAGCAUUGGCGGAGCAGUCAUUCUUAUUGUUUCUGUAGUUCUAUUUCUGCUAUGGUGGCAAAGAAUGCGCCACCGUCCUGAUAUAUACAUUGAUGUUCCAGGUCAGCAUGAUCACAACCUAGAGUUUGGGCAGAUAAAGCGUUUUUCAUGGCGAGAGCUCCAGACUGCGACCAAUAAUUUCAGUGAGCAAAAUGUACUCGGCAAGGGCGGUUUCGGUAAGGUGUACAAAGGAGUGCUUCCAGGUCCAGACAGCAAGAAGGUUGCGAUCAAACGGCUAUUUGAAGUAGGAAGUCCCGAAGGCGAAAUGGCUUUCCUCAGAGAAGUGGAAUUGAUAAGCAUUGCUGUGCAUAAGAACAUAUUAAGAUUAAUAGGAUUCUGCACGACACCAACAGAGCGGCUCUUGAUAUACCCCUUCAUGGAAAAUCUGAGUGUCGCUUCCCGUUUAAGAGAUAUAGAACUUAAUGAACCAAUAUUAGAUUGGAUGACAAGAAUGACGAUCGCACUUGGAGCUGCCCGUGGUUUGGAAUACCUUCAUGAGCACUGCAACCCCAAGAUCAUCCACCGCGAUGUCAAGGCUGCCAACGUCCUACUCGAUGGGAACUUUGAAGCAGUCAUAGGAGACUUUGGGCUGGCAAAGAUGAUGGACAUGGGGAGGAACACUGUGACGACAGGGGUCCGUGGGACAAUGGGCCACAUAGCUCCCGAGUACUUUAAGACCGGGAGGCCAUCAGUGAAGACGGACAUAUUUGGAUAUGGUGUUAUGUUAUUAGAAAUUGUGACAGGCGAGCGUGCAAUUUUCCCGGACUUCCUCGAAGGAGCUGGCGAGGUCAUGCUCAUCGAUCAAGUGAAACUGUUGAUGCAAGAAGGGCGAUUGGAAGAAAUCGUGGACCGCAAUAUAGGCUGUGGAUAUGACUUUCAAGAACUAGUAAAAAUUAUCCAAGUAGCACUCCUCUGCACCAAUAUUGACCCUUGUCAACGCCCUGCUAUGUCGGAAGUUGUGCAUAUGCUGGAAGAAAAAAUUGUGCCGGAAGAUCAGUGGGAGGAGUGGCAGCGAGCUGAGCUUACCCGUCGGCAGCAGUACGAAAAUAAGCAGCAUCACAAAUUAUUCACCUUCAGUGAGGAGUCACUGAACAUCUAUGAAGCCGUUGAGCUCUCUGGUGGCAGAUGA
rnacentral:rRNA from 1 species